rnacentral:rRNA from 1 species
CCAACAGGGAUUGCCUCAGUAACGGCGAGUGAAGCGGCAACAGCUCAAAUUUGAAAUCUGGCCUCUUUGGGGUCCGAGUUGUAAUUUGUAGAGGAUGUUUCGGGCACCGCUCCGGUUUAAAUUUCUUGGAACAGAAUGUCAAAGAGGGUGAGAACCCCGUCUUGGACCGGCAGUAGGGCCCAUGUGAAACUCCUUCGACGAGUCGAGUUGUUUGGGAAUGCAGCUCAAAAUGGGUGGUAAAUUUCAUCUAAAGCUAAAUAUUGGCCAGAGACCGAUAGCGCACAAGUAGAGUGAUCGAAAGAUGAAAAGCACUUUGAAAAGAGAGUUAAACAGUACGUGAAAUUGUUGAAAGGGAAGCGCUUGCAACCAGACUUGCGCGCGGCGGUUCCCCCUUCCUUUUGGUUGGGUUAUUCCGCCGUGUCCAGGCCAACAUCGGUUCUGGGGGUCGGUUAAAGGCCCAGGGAAUGUAUCUACCCUUCGGGCGUAGACUUAUAGCCCUGGGUGUCAUGCGACCUCCCGGGACCGAGGAACGCGCUUCG